rnacentral:rRNA from 1 species
AGCGAACGCUGGCGGCAGGCCUAAUACAUGCAAGUCGAGCGCACCUUCGGGUGAGCGGCGGACGGGUGAGUAACGCGUGGGAACGUGCCCUUUGGUACGGGAUAACUGAGGGAAACUUCAGCUAAUACCGUAUGUGCCCUACGGGGGAAAGAUUUAUCGCCAUUGGAGCGGCCCGCGUUGGAUUAGGUAGUUGGUGGGGUAAAGGCCCACCAAGCCGACGAUCCAUAGCUGGUCUGAGAGGAUGAUCAGCCACACUGGGACUGAGACACGGCCCAGACUCCUACGGGAGGCAGCAGUAGGGAAUCUUGCGCAAUGGGCGAAAGCCUGACGCAGCCAUGCCGCGUGAAUGAUGAAGGUCUUAGGAUUGUAAAAUUCUUUCACCGGGGAAGAUAAUGACGGUACCCGGAGAAGAAGCCCCGGCUAACUUCGUGCCAGCAGCCGCGGUAAUACGAAGGGGGCUAGCGUUGCUCGGAAUUACUGGGCGUAAAGGGCGCGUAGGCGGAUGUUUAAGUCGGGGGUGAAAGCCCGGGGCUCAACCUCGGAAUUGCCUUCGAUACUGGACAUCUUGAGUAUGGGAGAGGUGAGUGGAACUCCGAGUGUAGAGGUGAAAUUCGUAGAUAUUCGGAAGAACACCAGUGGCGAAGGCGACUCACUGGCCCGUUACUGACGCUGAGGCGCGAAAGCGUGGGGAGCAAACAG